CACUUGCUUGUCAGAGGCUGUGUUUUUCUUGCCGAAUUUGCUGGCUUCUCUCCAGUGCACCUGGUCUCUUAUCUUUUCCAAAAGAGGUUGAAACCUGCUUAUCACCUGCCUUGGCAACAUCUGUACCCCAGAAUCAAGGAAAAUAGAAAAUGUCAUACAAAAGAUCUGGUUUACCCCACCUUUCCUCUCCUCUGUCAUUUUACAGAUGAGGAAACAGUCCCAUGGACGGUGAGGAGCUUGACAAUGUGAUGGGCUGUUCAGGAGAAGUGGUCCCUGAAUCGGGUUCCUGGUCCUCAUUCCGAGCUUAUCUCAAGAAAGUCCUGUGCCAGAAUGUGGCAUGUGGGAUCUCAGUUCCCCGAUCAGGGAUGGAACCUGAGCCCUCUGCAUUGAAGCUAGGAGUCUUAAUCACUGGACCACCAGGGAAGUCCCCAGUGUGGCAAGAUUUUAUAAGAAAUCACUUUUUCUGGCUUUACAGAUAGCAGGGAAGGACCAAUUCAGGGAACCUCGACUGAACCAGACACUCUGGAAAGAGGAAGAGCUGGAACAGCCAAUGGCUCUGGUGGUCAUCCUACAACCAGAAAAGACAGACCACUGUGCGCUGUCAGAUGACAACUUGGCCACGCCCGGAGAGGAGCAGAGAGUGCAGCCUCCCUCCCUGUCUCCUGGGUGACAAAGUCUCCGGAUGACCCCACCAACAAUGAGAUGAAAAUGAAGAGCCCUGCAGCAUAAUGAGUGUGAUAAAAAUAGGAACUUGCUGAGUAAAGGGCAGGCCACAGUGGAGGCGUGGGAGGAGGGGGAACCCUGCCCGGAGCAGGUGGACAGGGCCCCUCGGCCUGACGCCCUGCUCUGUCGCUGUGACUCAGACAGACCAAGGCUGGUAGAGGGGGUGGCAGGGAAGCCAGAGAAGGACUGAAGAGUGGGCUUACUUGAAUGUCCCAAGCAGACUCUGUCCUGGUCACUGUGACUCUGAUCUCCACAGGGGGUGGACAAGGUGUGGCCAACACACACGCUGAUGGGGGUUGGGAAAUUCCUGCCCGUGUCUUGAACCUCUUGCCUGCCAAUAAGCAUCAGAAAAUGCAUUAAGA